rnacentral:rRNA from 1 species
UACGGGGGGGGCAAGCGUUGUUCGGAAUUACUGGGCGUAAAGGGCUCGUAGGCGGCCAACUAAGUCAGACGUGAAAUUCCUGGGCUCAACCUGGGGGCUGCGUUUGAUACGUGCGGACUUGAGUGCGGAAGAGGGUCGUGGAAUUCCCAGUGUAGAGGUGAAAUUCGUAGAUAUUGGGAAGAACACCGGUGGCGAAGGCGGCGACCUGGUCCGAUACUGACGCUGAGGCGCGAAAGCGUGGGGAGCAAACAGG